AUUGAACGCUGGCGGCAGGCUUAACACAUGCAAGUCGAGCGGAGAUGAGGUGCUUGCACCUUAUCUUAGCGGCGGACGGGUGAGUAAUGCUUAGGAAUCUGCCUAUUAGUGGGGGACAACAUUCCGAAAGGAAUGCUAAUACCGCAUACGCCCCACGGGGGAAAGCAGGGGAUCUUCGGACCUUGCGCUAAUAGAUGAGCCUAAGUCGGAUUAGCUAGUUGGUGGGGUAAAGGCCUACCAAGGCGACGAUCUGUAGCGGGUCUGAGAGGAUGAUCCGCCACACUGGGACUGAGACACGGCCCAGACUCCAACGGGAGGCAGCAGUGGGGAAUAUUGGACAAUGGGCAGAAGCCUGAUCCAGCCAUGCCGCGUGUGUGAAGAAGGCCUUUUGGUUGUAAAGCACUUUAAGCGAGGAGGAGGCUACCUGGAUUAAUACUCUAGGAUAGUGGACGUUACUCGCAGAAUAAGCACCGGCUAACUCUGUGCCAGCCGCCGCCGUAAAAC
rnacentral:rRNA from 1 species